rnacentral:lncRNA from 1 species
CUGAGAGAGAAAGAACAACUUGUCAGGUGGUGCAUUGGAGACUGAUGUGUUCCUGUCCUGUCUUUUCAUAAUACUAUUGCAGAUCGACAUAAAAGCCUAAAAGACAGCCGUGGUGUCGCUCUUCAUUUCUUGGUUCUCCUGUGGUGCAUAAGAAACCCGCUACAGAUUGGUGCCGUGACCCGGAUCAACAGAUCAGCUGCAGCAGAUCGCCGGGGGACCCCUAAACAGAACUGGAUCGACAUCACACGUUUAAAACAUUUGAGGGCAAGAACAACUUGUCAGGUGGUGCAUUGGAGACUGAUGUGUUCCUGUCCUGUCUUUUCAUAAUACUAUUGCAGAUCGACAUAAAAGCCUAAAAGACAGCCGUGGUGUCGCUCUUCAUUUCUUGGUUCUCCUGUGGUGCAUAAGAAACCCGCUACAGAUUGGUGCCCUGCAGCAGAUCGCCGGGGGACCCCUAAACAGAACUGGAUCGACAUCACACGUUUAAAACAUUUGAGGGCAAGGUGAACUUUGGACAAUAUGUUGCAUAUGCCUCAGUUGUGUGAGAUUACAGAACAGGAGAGAGAAGACAUAUCAG